rnacentral:rRNA from 1 species
GACGAACGCUGGCGGCGUGCUUAACACAUGCAAGUCGAACGCUGAAGCUCAGCUUUUGUUGGGUGGAUGAGUGGCGAACGGGUGAGUAACACGUGAGUAACCUGCCCCCUUCUUUGGGAUAACGCCCGGAAACGGGUGCUAAUACUGGAUAUUCACUGGUCUUCGCAUGGGGGUUGGUGGAAAGGGUUUUUCUGGUGGGGGAUGGGCUCGCGGCCUAUCAGCUUGUUGGUGGGGUGAUGGCCUACCAAGGCUUUGACGGGUAGCCGGCCUGAGAGGGUGACCGGUCACAUUGGGACUGAGAUACGGCCCAGACUCCUACGGGAGGCAGCAGUGGGGAAUAUUGCGCAAUGGGCGCAAGCCUGAUGCAGCGACGGCGCGUGAGGGAUGGAGGCCUUCGGGUUGUGAACCUCUUUCGCUCAUGGUCAAGCCGCAACAAUGGUUGUGGUGAGGGUAGUGGGUAAAGAAGCGCCGGCUAACUACGUG